ensembl:lncRNA
UAAAGAUCCAUAGCUGCCUGCGUUCUCCACCAAUAGUUGUCACGGGGUGAUCCUAGCUAUCAGUCCGUGACAGGGAGGCACCGGCGCCGGAAGAAAAAAAGAAAGGAGAGACAAAGGAGCGAAGGAGAAGGAAGGGCGGCUACGAACGGCUCGCCGCCUGACCCGGCCGGCCCCGGGCCGCGUACUCCGAGAGAGGGGAAAGGGAAGAUAGCUUGCAGAUAGUUUUAACCAGGAGAAAACACAAUGGCAGCGAUCCGAGGAGGAACGCGCCCUGCCUUACAAGAAGAAAUAGCUUGUCCAAACUGAUGUUGUCCAGCUUCUCACAAGAUCAUUCCUGCAGUUCUGAGAUAGCCCUUCUGUUUACGCAGCAAAAUCGAGUUUCUCUAUUGGAGUGGUAAGGAAUCCACUUUUCUCAUCAGAAAUCUAUGCAAAAUGUGUGCUUGCCCUCUGACUGCACGAUACCUGCUGUGACCGUGGCUGAGGAGGAAGGGCAGCUGCCUCAGGUGCUUCGUUAAUCCUGCUUUUGUGCACAGCUUUGUUCCGUGGUCCCGAUCUACCCAUCGUGACUUGCAGAUUUAUGCUAAAUUACAUGCAGCUUUACGGGGUAACUGCCUUCCAGAGCGUGUCAGCUGAAGAAUUGAAGGUGAAAGAUGAGAGCAUUAGCGCACAUCACUUUCUGUUUGCAGUGGUCUUCAAACAGAUGUUUGAAUAGAAAUGUUGGAUUGGGAUCUGUAUGGGAACCGUUGAAUCACGGCCUGAACCUCUGAUUGACCACCUGAGGCAAGCGCUGAGUCAGCCACAGGAGCACAGGUGAAUGCAACUUCACCUGAGUGACCAGAAGGGGUGGGGCCUGGCUGCACCCCUCCUAGACCCCAUUUAAGGGCUGACUCCCAAGAAGGAAGGAUCCCUAUCUGGAGAUCACCCCUCUUGGAGCCCUUCUGUGAGCCCAGGAUGGAUCCAAUGCUGUUUUAUGUCUGCAUAUUCUACUGGAUGAAAUGGAUAUGACAUGAAAUGAAUAUGAGAGAAGGAAUACCUGAAGAAAGGAGCUAGCAAAGAAUGGAGCACCAGGAUUUCUUAGCUGUGUGAAGUUUGACUGUGAACUCGUGCUGUACUUUCUGUGAGCAGUAACUCCUGAAUGUGAACGCAUAAGAAGUGCCUGCAGAGCACUGCAGCCCUGCUUCAAUGAUGGGAUGGAGUAACUGUGAUCUGGAGGAGCUCAGGUACAAGGAGCAGCGUGUUACCAGGAGCGCAGUUCAGAAAUGUGUGAUCUGAAAGCACGGAUGAGGCUACUGUCCCUUUGUUUUUGAGCACAAACCCUCUGUUGAGAGUGAAAACAACUUUGUCUUUUCCUGCUUAUUGUAGUCACCUGAAUUAAAUGCACUCCAGGCUCAGCUUUGAAAGAUCUGAAUGGCUAUGUGAUAAAGUGACGAGAGGCAAUAAAACUAUAGGGCAAAACCACAUAAUUAGAGGAAGGAAGACACUACGGACUGCAAUGCAGCCUUUGAAACUUCCUUGUCAUCUACUGGUUAUAACUUUUGCAUAUGGAAGCAUACAGAGGACCUCCCCAGAAAUUCUCUUGUAGAUGUGGAGUGAUAGGCCUCAAAGUAAAGCUGUACCUCCGAGCUUCUGUGAGGCUGAAGUCAAGGAAUUAUCCUGUAAAUCCAGAUUGAGUCACACCUGGACAACCCAUUGUGUGAUACAGAUCCCUGCUGGGUUGCAGUUUGCAGCCACAGGGAAGUAUUGACACUUACUCAGCUUAAAGGCCAAAUAUAAAUUAAAUCAAAACAGAAGUCCCAGCAGCUUUGGGAGGAAGACUUGGCCUUUAGACUCCUUUUGCUCAUCUCUAAAGCUGUCAUUUCAGGUAAAUAACAAUUCUGCAAGUUUGUGGUUUUGACUUCUCACCUCAGCGGUUUGGAUCAGUGAUUGAGGACGUGGACCCAGGAAUUUGAAGAUGAGCUUCACUUUUAAUGUCUUCAUUUGGACACCAAGCAAAUCCCUAACUAAUUGAGGCUGAAAUGCCUUAGGAUGAUAUUUGCUGUUCUUUAUUUAAAUUCAGAGGGUUUAUCACCACACAGACAUUUCAGUUGCUUAUUCUAGGAAACUCAUGGAAACGUGCUUUGUUAAAUAAUGUAUUUUCUAUUUUUUUUUCCCUUCCUUGUGUUACAAAAUGAAUGUAAAAGCUUUAAAACCCAGCAUUCACCACUCUGCAGUAGAUCUAAUAGAGUGGCAUUAUAUGAAGAGAUGCCAUGGUAACUGAAGUUGCCAAGACAGUCAGUGUCAAGCUUUUUAAUGGUGACUGCUAUACUAUAUUUGGCUUUGAUUACCACAAUCUGAAUAGCAAAUGGAAAGUGUUCACCGGUCUCAUUUGCUACCACCUACAGUCCAGAAGUAACGAGAUGACAGAAUUCAGUGUUGCACUGACUGCCAACCACUGGCCAUCAGGAUUGUUCUUUGCAGCACUCCCCUCUCCCACUGGAUCUCAUGGCAUCCUUAUCACAGCCUUACCAUUUGUGCUAUCCAGUUGGUGAUAUGCCACUUGUCUUAAUGAAAUUUGGCACCUGAAGCCAGUAGAGGAGUCUGCACUUUGUGAGCUGGCAAAAAAUCAGCAAAGUCAUUUCCACAGGAAACUGUUCUUUAAAUCUGUAAGUGGUGCGAAAGCAGAAUAAAGCAGAAACAUACACUGUUUUUUUCUCAUAAAUGGGUUAGGUGUACCUUACCUCCCUUGCUGUAAAGCUUUGUAGAUCCUGUUAUCAUCAGUUUUCACAAAAAUGAUGCUUUCUUCUGUCUCCAUAAUUUUGGUUUAUUUUUUAAAUGCCAGAAUAGAAAGCGAGGUCCCAUCGCCAAGGUGCCAUUUUAUCAUUUUGCUCACUCUAAUACAAAUGAUUUACCUAUACACUGAAGUAUUACCGUAAGUUAUAAUGAAGCUCCUUGCUAAAACGUGCAGCAGCAGUUCCAAAACGUUACUCAUUACCUUUAAAUCCAGAACUAAACUUUCUGCCAGUAGUAAUAGCCUCAUGCUGUUAAAAAGGACUGUUUUUAACAUGCUGUUAAAGGACUGCUUUACUUAAAAGGAAGCAGUCACAGAGCAGACUAUGAAAUGCUUCUUGAAUGAGAUGAACAGUCCUGGCCAUAACAGUUGUAGACUAUUGGGAAACUCAAUAGGCAGCUAACAGGAACAACUUGGGUAGGAAGAGCUUGAGGGUGAGUGCAGCUCAGCUCAGAACAGCCUUCUGUCAUUCUCUCUUGCAGUUAGGCAGACAUAAACAAAGAAGCAUGAUGGGAAGAAACUGAUAUCUUGGAGGGAAGGGAAAGACUAAAUAAAGAGUAGGGAAAAAGCUUUAACAAUGUGAUUCUUUAGAUAGAAAGCUAGUCUCAAAAGACCUAUCCCUUGACACAUGAAAAAUUGAUUGGAGAAAGCAGUAGCAAAUAGUUUUCCAGGAAGAAUGUUGUAUUGGCAGGAGGAUGGAUAAGAUGAUCACAGUUCAUUUACUUAAGUUAUAUCCAACAGCAUUAUGAAGUAGGAGAAUAUAUGGGUGAUUUCAUGUGGUUUUGGAUCGUGUGGAUUUUGAACAAACCAGUCAGGAGGUAGCAGCAUUGCUUUGGAGAUCAGCAAAUGAAGAAAAACAGCUUCAGUUGAAAGGGAACAGAUUUGACAGGAAAAAUUCAUAUUUGUUAAAGAUUGGUUUAGAAUACUGACAUCAAAUCUCACUGUCAGUGGAUAUUUUCUUCAACGGCUGUAUCUCUACUGCUAAAAUGCAACACAACAAAUUCAGAUUCAUUCCUAAGAUCAAUUUGUUCAAGUCAACAAAAUUUUUGUCACACCACUGUUAAACCUGAGAUGCCUCAAAUAAAGAGUAUAACUUGGCUUGAAAACAGCACGAAGGAUGAAUGUAAUCCAUGCCAUCGAGAAAAUAGCCAAUGUUAAACUAGAUGAGUUUGACACCAAUUCAAAAGGCAUCUUCUUGUGUCCUACAUUCUAGUAAUUUUGUUGACUAAAUUAUGUGUUUAAAUUUAUACGGCAAACUCAGGCCAGCAUUUGGGUUCCUGUGAUUAUUCAUUUGUAAGGCUGUGAAUGCUUAUUAAUGGCUCCUGGCUUUAGAAUGAGCGUUUAUGCUUCCAAAGCACUGCACAUGACUAAUUUGUUCUUCUGCUUAUUCGAAAGCAGCAGGGGUUGUCAAGAAGCCAAAUCUACACUGAAUUAAAACCACGUUGCUUUGCUUCCAUAGAAGAGGUAAUACUUGGCUGUUGUAAAAAAGUCACACUUCAAUUGAGCAUCAGUUCAUCACUGAAACUACAAAGUGGAGCAGUCGCAGAGCAGUCCCUGUGCAGACUUGUUGCUGGCUCACGCCUGCCAGUACUUCACAGAGAUGCAGAUGCCAUUGGUGGACUUUUCACUGCUGGACAGAAGGCAUUUGAGUGAUUACUUGUUGUGAAGUACCUUCUGCAGAGACUGCCUGCAGUUUUGGAAGGCAGCUGGAUAGCAUCAUGCAUUAGUAAUCUAAUGACCUUUACCCCUCGGCACCAUUUCCUCACAUCUUGAACAGCUUGGCAAUACUAGGAAAGCAUCCCAUGGUUCAGUACAGUUGUGUAAUAGAAGUUCUUCUCAUUACAUUUCACUCAUUGACUGAUUUUAUCUCAAGAGUAAGCACAGCAGCUAGAAAUCACAGGAAGCCUCGGAAGAGAGUUGGAUUAAUACCUGAAGGCAGUUUCCUCUGGAAGUGAGCUUUCCUUCGAGGCAUGGAGCAGCACUGCUGCUGUGGCUGCUGCACUGGGGCUGCAGGAAGUACCUCUGUGCAGACAAAACUCAUUCUGGGAACAUGCAAAGAACACAGAGUUUGGACCCAAUUACUCACUCUGCCAUCUUUUUUUAUCCUCAAGGAUGGGGGGGAAUCCUUUAUCAGUGCAUAGUAAUCGUCUUGAUGUCCAAUGAAAAGAGCAAUGACAAACAUUUCCUUGCCAGACAAUGAGUAUUGCAGGCAGACAGCUGGGUUACUUUCCACCUUUGCACGAGCACAUCUGCUCAACGAGCACGGCAUACAUUCAGAGAUACCCGAGCACGCAGGGCUGACAUUUGCUUUUCAGAAGCGCCCCCCUGACAGGCACUUGAAUGCUCAGACACCCGUGUGAAAGGUACACAGGACAUCAGUGGGACGAGCUGCGUAACUCACACCACUGACACGUCUCUUUUCACUUGCAGUAUUUAUAGCUGGCAGUGAUUUCCCAUUGCGCACUUUUGCUUUAGGAAGGACUUCUAAAAUAUCAAGAGUUUGUUCCAUACAGACCUUUUCCUUUGGGUACAUGAAGGAGGCUGAUGUCAACGGCAGCUCUCGGACGUGGCCCUGAAUGCACAGCAGUACGAGCCAUUCUGCUUGUGCAUGUGGUCAGCUUUUGCUUCAGUCUUCUUGUGCUUCUGCUUGUGCUUCAGUCAGCAUGACUUUCAGAGCUCUUCAUUUUAUUUUAUGGCUAAUUUCACGAAUUCAUUAGGGGCAUUGUAGUGGCAGUGCUCAAUCACAGCCUGAAACAGUGAUGGAGCACCUGGUGGGAAGGCAGGGCCAACCCAGGGGAGUUCAGGUGCACGUAGUGCUGCUGAGUGACUAGAAGGGAUGGAGUCAGGAUCCACCCCUUCCCAGCCCUCAUUUAAGGGUUGGCAGUGGAGCUGAGGGUAUCUUUUGCUGGAGAUUCCUGCUUACCUGCGGCCUUCUAAGAGUAAGCAGUUCUUUUCCUUAAUUUUUGCAUCUGUGGCUGUUGCAUUUGGGCUCAUUCUCAUUUGGAGUAGCUAAAGACUUUGACGCCCUGCUAUUAUCCUAUUAUAGCGUUGCAGGCAUUAAUAAUAGUUAAGGAGAUUUAAAUCCAUUAUGACUGUAACACUGGGCAGGCUGCAGGGGUGUGCAGAUGUCAUCUCCAUGUUCUUCUGGAGGAAUUUUGGAUGCUCAGUAGCAGUGAUGCCAGUGUUGGGGCAUGCACCCAGAGCACCCCUGUCUGGAGGAAAUGUAGUUCCCCACAUCUUGCAACGCACAGAGCUGUGAGAACACCAGAAUGCCUGAGCACUCAUCUGCUGCCCAGCUCUUGGCUGCUGCUAGAUGCAGCUCGUGACUUUGAAACCAGUUGUUUGCAAAAGAGCUCUGUGCCAUGCCCUGCAGGGCGAGCAGGGCCUCGUGCUGCAGCUGCUGACUAAUGCAUGACACCUCUGCUGUGAGGCAGUUGUGUUCACUCACCGAGGUCAGGGUGACUCAAAGCAGCACAUGUUCCAUGUCGAUGCCCAGAGGCAGCUGCUGUUUUACAUCAUGACAAUGUCAAUUAUCACCUACAACACUCCUGUAAGGAGUAAAAUGGCAUUGACAAAAGAUGCAAUUAUUUGGCUGUUUGCUUUCUCAGUCCUCUGCUAAUGUCAGUGUCUGGUUGUCUCUCUGAUGAUGCCUUUAAACCACAUGUGUGACAGCUACACUGCGUUGAAAAACACAGCUUUCCCCACCUGUGUGUGCAUGAGGAGAUGUGCUGUUGCAGAGAUGCCCUGAUCUUUCUGAGCACCACUGUAACGCUGCUGGAGAAGCUCAAGGGGGGAUUGUGUCCUUUCCAGUGGAGGCUGGAGGUGCAAUAUUGAUCUCAGCCCCCAUCUCUUGGAUAGCUGGAGUGUCAAGCACUGGGUAGAAUUGCUGUAAGUGCGCUGGCUCUUGCUGUGCUCCUGGCCGUUCCUCUGCUUCAUGUCUAUGUGCUUGGGCCUUUGGAGCUGGCUGCUGCACCAGCCCAGCUCUCGGAGGUGUCCCCCAGCAGCUGCUGCCUGGGGUUGCUUGGGCUGCUCGCAGGAGCUGAGGGCACAGCCCAGCCCGCUGUGCUGGCAGAGGCUGAUAGCCUGCCCAGAGCAAGUUUUUCUCCUCCACCACAGUCAUCUGACCUGUCCUUAGAACGGCAUCUGCUUUUGGGGGGCAAGACCAACAAAAAACAACAGCAACAAAAAGCUUUUGUGAUUCAUCUCUUAUUUAGAGCAUGUGCUAAUGAUGAAUUUGGGUGCAUCCCAUCUUGUCUCUAGGAACAGCUGGAAUAACUUCUGUGUUUUUGCAUUGGAAACAACAAUGUUGCCGAAUCAUAGCUGUUCUUUGUGAAUCUCUCCAUUUCUUUAAGUUGUCAAUUUAUGGAAAAGUGGAAGAAUCUGGUAGUGAAACUGAAACUUCUUGUUUGAUCAUUUUGGUACCAGCAGAUGUGGGGAAUUCAUUCCAGGACAAGUUUAUUGCCUACGUUCACGUUCUGACAUUGCCAAAAUGAGCAGAAAUAAAAGCCUUCCCCACCCCCCUCAAGUUUUUAAAUAUAAUGGGAAAUGUUUUUAUUCUUUGGAGUUGUGGCAGAGUCUGCACAAUUUAACCUUGCAGACUUAUCCUGUUCAACCACAGGUCGUGUGCUGCUGUCCCAGCAGCUGGGGCUGGAUCCAUGCAGUCAGUCUGCACACGACGUGGAGGUUUGCUGAUGCUGCACAGUUGGGUGCAGGCAGUCAUCUGCAGAGCCCUCACGCCUUUGUAUCAUCCAGCCUGAUACUCAUAGCGCUGUUUUACUAAGCCCAAAGCCUUUACUGGUUACACAUGCUCUGCGUCAUUCCUUCCAUUGGCACGUGCUCCGUUCGGCAUUCUCUCAUUCACGUACGACACAGGGAAGGGAUUGUAUACUCCACUGUGAUACCACUUACAUCUCCUCCUUUGUUUCUAGGCAUGUAAUUACAUAUGGAUUUGGACCUUAACAAACCAUGGGUUGCUUUAGGUUACACUUGCUCCUGCCUCAGCCUAACUACGUGUUUUCAUUUAGAUUUUGGCAAGACCUUUGUCUGGCCAGCUGGCUUUUGUGCUCGAGACCAUCCUGUCUUUUGUCUUGAGUUACCCUUCCUUCUUCCCAACUGCAGCCCUGACUGCACUUGCAGUAACAGGGAUGAAUUUAUCAAAUGUUUGUGUAUUCACACAAUUAAAACGCAGAUAUUGAUUUGUUACUUUGAUCUCUUGGCUUCCCUUACCAGAAUGUAGGCAUGUAGACACAAAUACAGGGUGUGGAGGAUCUGUUGCAAAGGGCAAUUUUGAUCUGGCCGUAGCAGCGUGAGCCAUCUGUUGAUUGGCCUUUGUCAGCCAAAUUGUGCUACUAGUUGGCAUAGUGAAUAUGUAUGCAGCACUCUGCAGGACAAAACUCAUAAAUUCAGAUUGCCUUGCAUGAACUUAUAUAUGCAGUUCAGCUCCACAAAGAGAAAGAAAAAGAAAAAAACUGCAUACAUUGCUUAUGCAACAAAAUGUUGCUUAUUUAUAGUGGCAUUUACAAGGUGCAGGGAAAGCUGAUAUCCUCCUCAAUGAUGAGGGCUGAAAACCUCAUUAAAAUGUGUUAUAACAUCAAGUGAUGCAUUUCUGCCCCUACUGCUCCAUUUUAACACAGG